rnacentral:rRNA from 1 species
AAGUUGGAAGUGAAAUCCUAUGGCUUAACCAUAGAACUGCUUCCAAAACUGUCUAUCUAGAAUAUGGGAGAGGUAGAUGGAAUUUCUGGUGUAGGGGUAAAAUCCGUAGAGAUCAGAAGGAAUACUGAUUGCGAAGGCGAUCUACUGGAACAUUAUUGACGCUCAGAUGCGAAAGCGUGGGGAGCAAACAGGAUUAGAUACCCUGGUAGUCCACGCCCUAAACGAUGCACACUAGUUGUUGCCUUGCUAGACAAGGCAGUAAUGCAGUUAACACAGUAAGUGUGCCGCCUGGGGAGUACGGUCGCAAGAUUAAAACUCAAAGGAAUAGACGGGGACCCGCACAAGCGGUGGAGCAUGUGGUUUAAUUCGACGAUACGCGAAGAACCUUACCUGGCCUUGACAUAGAGAGAACUUACUAGAGAUAGUUUGGUGCUAGCUUGCUAGAACUUUCAUACAGGUGCUGCACGGCUGUCGUCAGCUCGUGUCGUGAGAUGUUGGGUUAAGUCCCGCAACGAGCGCAACCCUCGUGUUUAGUUACUAACAGUUCGGCUGAGGACUCUAGACAGACUGCCUGGGUAACCAGGAGGAAGGUGAGGACGACGUCAAGUCAUCAUGGCCCUUACGGCCAGGGCUACACACGUGCUACAAUGGGGUAUACAAAGAGCCGUAAUACCGCAA